GCCCCUGUAGUUCAAUGGAUAGAACACUAGCCUUCUAAGCUAGAUAUGUGGGUUCGAUUCCCCCCGGGGGUACCA
rnacentral:tRNA from 1 species